rnacentral:rRNA from 1 species
CCGUAGCCCAAGAGACUGGGAUAACACCUGGAAACAGAUGCUAAUACCGGAUAACAACACUAGACGCAUGUCUAGAGUUUAAAAGAUGGUUCUGCUAUCACUCUUGGAUGGACCUGCGGUGCAUUAGCUAGUUGGUAAGGCAACGGCUUACCAAGGCAAUGAUGCAUAGCCGAGUUGAGAGACUGAUCGGCCACAUUGGGACUGAGACACGGCCCAAACUCCUACGGGAGGCAGCAGAU